rnacentral:lncRNA from 1 species
UUAGAUAUAUUACAAAUAUGUAUUUCUUCAAAUUAUCCUAAUGCAUUUUCAUGUACCCAACUGUAAAGACAGAUAUAAAAAAUAUAUCUAUUUUUAUCAUGACAGCAUAAAUUUCUUAUGCUGUAAGGCACGUAGUUCCAUUGGUGAAAUAAUUUAACUGUCUUUUAAUAAAUAAUGACAGGUUAAGUGUCAGUGUUCUAAAGAUAGAAAUAUCCAUAUAAAACCUUCACGUGAUUUAAAUUUGUUCAUUUCUAAUGAAUUUGCUCAUUUUGUACACCUAAAAAGUUCCAUUGGAGAAACAUAAUGUAGUUCAAAAAGUAUUAUAAUUAUAAUUCUUAUGGAUUUUUACAGAAAAUGUUUAAUUUAAAGGCUGCUUCCCUUUUUUUUCAACGUGUGUCUCUGUGGGAGCAACUGAAUGCACAUAUCACAUACCCUGGGUUUCCCUUUUCCUCUUCGCAGUUGAGGAUGCACUGCUAAGGAGAAGAGAAGACAAAAUAGAGAAAACAUAAUGAUGCAAUUCCUGUCCACAGUCUUGAUCCAAAAGCUCUUAUUUUCCUGGAUUUUCAAAAAGGUUGUACACAUAUUUAUGCCCAUAUUAUUGCAAUGAAUUUCUAUACAAUCUGAAGAACACAACGUGAAAAGCAAUCUGAACUAUCUGUUGAGCAAAUGUUCUCGAAUGCUGCCGGCUGUGAAAGAUGGGGAAAUAAGAAUUUAUGGGGCCACUGGUUCUAGUCUGAUCACAACUGCUCAUGGGGACAGCGGUGCUGAACCACCAGUAUGUUUCCUGUUUUACUCAGCACGGAGUACUUUGGGUGGGACAAUCAUCGAAAUCCACUAUCAAAAACCCUGCCUUCUUCGUAAUAUACUAGCCACCAGAGGCUUGUGA